UGAAGGUUGUGGUGGGGGUUUGAUGUCGCUUCUCUCUUUAUAUAGGACUCUACUAUUAAGCGGUCGUGAAAAAGGUUUCUACCUGCUUUUAUAGUGUUACAUCCGCCGUUUCCCGACAUAAAUUUUCGCAAGAUUAGUUACCGAAUGAGGCUGGAAACAUAAAACUUUUGACUAAGACUGUAUCCAUGGAAACAGGAUAAGAAGUGUCUCCCUCCUCGAUACCAGCGCCGCGCCCGGUAGCAUAGGACACAUAGAGCCGCGUGGGAUGGCGACGCUACGCCUCCGCACGCCGACGCCAGGCACUUCUUCGUCCGACUCGAACACGUGAACACGCGUCGCGCCGCGCUCUCCGUAGCGAACCACGUGGCGCGCUGUAGAAGUUGUAGACCGUAAAAGUGAGCGCGUCGCCGAGCGUGUGGCAGUUACUAGUGCGCGGCAGUUACUAUAGCGACGCUGUGUUUGAAACUUCCCCUUUUUGACCGUUUGGGAUUCUUAUAUCUGUGCCUAUUGUAUGUGUAUCCUACCUAAGACUCUUCCUUAACCUGUGUUAGUAUACAACGAUUAUUUUUCUUUGUGUGUGACCUUACCGCAACCUAAGUCUUUUAGAACCAGUUUUCAGUCGGCAUUUGCUAUUCGAGGAGUAAAGAUCGAGUAAAAUAGAUAGAAAAUCAUCGAGAAAAAGUUCUAGACGUCAAGGAGCAUCUGCACGAAAAAGAUCGUUUCGAGGAAAUUAACAUACUGCCGAAAAAGACACCGAUUUUGUUAGUACUUCAGCCAAGAAACUAAAACAGGUGUGACAAUCGGUCCGCAAGCUAUAAAUUUCAUGGAGACACACGACGAAGCGCGCAUAACAAAGGCGGAGCGCUGUAGCACUGCGGCUUCAAAAGAGGCCAGAGCAGCUUUGAGAGCGGCUAGGGCAGAAGAAAACGAUGCCUUUAAGGAAGCUGAAGGCCUAUUGUAUGGAGCAGGCAUAGCCGAUUAGUAUGACAGUGUGAGCUGAAAUCACUUGCACCGCUGACAAUGCUUUCUUUUAAGGCACCAUCUUUGACUUCAGAAAGCAUACACAAAAUAUUAAUAAAUUAUGACCAAAAAAUUUUUUUUAUAAGCUGCAAGUAAUAACAUAUAAAAAGAUUAAAAAAA